AUGAACGCUGGCGGCGUGCCUAAUACAUGCAAGUCGAGCGAACGGACGAGAAGCUUGCUUCUCUGAUGUUAGCGGCGGACGGGUGAGUAACACGUGGAUAACCUACCUAUAAGACUGGGAUAACUUCGGGAAACCGGAGCUAAUACCGGAUAAUAUUUUGAACCGCAUGGUUCAAAAGUGAAAGACGGUCUUGCUGUCACUUAUAGAUGGAUCCGCGCUGCAUUAGCUAGUUGGUAAGGUAACGGCUUACCAAGGCAACGAUGCAUAGCCGACCUGAGAGGGUGAUCGGCCACACUGGAACUGAGACACGGUCCAGACUCCUACGGGAGGCAGCAGUAGGGAAUCUUCCGCAAAGGGCGAAAGCCUGACGGAGCAACGCCGCGUGAGUGAUGAAGGUCUUCGGAUCGUAAAACUCUGUUAUUAGGGAAGAACAUAUGUGUAAGUAACUGUGCACAUCCUGACGGUACCUAAUCAGAAAGCCACGGCUAACUACGUG
rnacentral:rRNA from 1 species